rnacentral:tRNA from 1 species
UUUUGAAAUUCUAAUGUUAGAAAAUAAUUUGUAAAGUUAUUAAAUGAAAAUUUCUUUCUCAAAUC